GGGUAUCAGUCUCUUUGCAUCUGUUGCUGCAACUCUUGGACUAAAAUAUUGCUCGAGUCUGCUUGAGAACUGAUCUCAAAGUUUAGAGAGAAGCACAGAAACAUUGCCUCAACAAAUCAGUCUCUGCUUUUGGAAUGAAGAAAGUGAUGGAAUCGGACUGGUUUGAAAUACUUGCUUGCUAUACUCAUCUGACUAGUUUGCUUGCUUGGGGAAG